rnacentral:rRNA from 1 species
UACAGAGGGGGCAAGCGUUUGUUCGGAAUUACUGGGCGUAAAGGGCGCGUAGGCGGCCUGCUAAGUCGAACGUGAAAUCCCCGGGCUCAACCCGGGAACUGCGUCCGAUACUGGCAGGCUUGAAUUCGGGAGAGGGAUGCGGAAUUCCAGGUGUAGCGGUGAAAUGCGUAGAUAUCUGGAGGAACACCGGUGGCGAAGGCGGCAUCCUGGACCGAGAUUGACGCUGAGGCGCGAAAGCCAGGGGAGCAAACGGG